UCCCCCUCUCUCUCUCUAAAAAAAUAUAGACAGGGCUCAGCAUUCCUUCUUCCUUGGCCUAGACAUAAAUAUAUAAAAAAAAACUAAGUUAUUUUUCUUCUUUAAUUUGCUUAUAGUUCAUUAGCUACGAGAUAGUGCAGUGGUUUCAAGCUCCUCCUUCCGAUCUCUACGUCCUGCAUCACCAAAGAGCUGGUCACAAUUGGCAACAGCAAGAUCAACAGCUGAUUCACAACAUGUACAACGAUGUAUGCAAUGCUGGAGAUCUUGUUCCUCUCCCCACCUCAAUGCAAUCUCUCCAAAACUCCAAUGAUCAUGACACAAGCGGCAUUCAUGGCACCAGGCAUCCAAUUACCAGCAUUGCCAAUGUUUCAGGGAACGAAACAGGUACCAAGAAAUGGGGCAAUAAUUCGAGGAAGAGAAAGGUCGAGAAUAGCUCUAAUCAAAAGGUGGAGUGCGGCAACACCAUAGAGGAUGGAAUGAAAGAAGGCACAGAAAGAGGAGGAGGAGGAGGAGCAACAAAAGAGAGCCAGCAAGCGAACAGGAAAAAAGAAACCUCCGGAGACGCCUCAAAGGAGAGCAUGAAGCCACCAAAGACUGAGUACAUCCACGUUAGAGCGCGUCGAGGCCAGGCCACAGAUAGUCAUAGCUUGGCCGAGAGAGUGAGGAGGGAGAGGAUCAGUGAGAGGAUGAAGUACUUGCAGGACUUGGUGCCCGGGUGCAAAAAGAUCACUGGAAAAGCCUGCAUGCUCGAUGAGAUCAUUAACUAUGUUCAGUCUCUCCAGAGGCAAGUCGAGUUCUUAUCCAUGAAGCUCGCUGCAGUGAAUCCGAGGCUGGACUUCAACAUUGAUGACUUCUUCGGUAGAGAGAUAAAUCUAGCUUGCAAUCCGGGUGCGAUGCCGGUGCUCGACAUGUCAUCGGAGCGAUGGAACUCGUCUUAUAUUCAGUUCAACUCCUUGGAUCGAACAGCUGCUACUUGUGGAUUCGACAUGGCUAUGUGCUCCUCAGAUCGAGUCCUCGGUGGAACCAUGAGUUCGCCUGCAACCGUGCCCGGCACAAUCUUGGAUUCGAGUCUCAAUGUAAUUACUUCUAUAACCACGUUCAAGAAAUUUAUUAAGAUCAGAUAAUGGUGUAAAGGUCCAUGGAUCUUCAUCUUCUUCUUGGGACGCUGGCUUGCACAACAUCUAUGGGGUGGAAUUUUAUCAAGGGAAGAGGCCUGACUUCCCCUUCCAAUCAUUGCAAGGUGAUAACUUGCAAAACAAUAUCAAGACGGAGAUGUGAGCAUAGAUUACAUUAAAAUUCCCUGAUGGCUAAAUAUCCCAAUUCCAAGCCAGAAAAAUCUUUACUAAGUACAUAUAUUAUUCACCUCCUGAAAAAAGUACAUAUGUAUUUAUACUGUGUGGCAGUAAGAAGAAGAAUGCGUACCAUACUUAUAGCACAUUAUGUGCGACAAAAGGUUGGAAAUUGAUCUAAUCAAGUAUGAAACUACUUUUGUGUUUGCAUGUGAAAUAAACUUUCAAAGUGAUGUUCACAAUCUCUCA